UGCUGUGACUAACGAGCCACCAGCAGG
rnacentral:piRNA from 1 species